AUGAGAACCAGCUCUGAAGUAUCAUCAUCUAUUGAGUAUCACCUACUUGACUGUAUUUCGUCCAGGUCACAAAGAAAUGAGCCGAAGAGAAAAAUGGAGCAAAAGUGGAAGCUGCCUCCUACUGGAACCCUGAAGAUAAAUACGGAUGGGGCCUUCUUUGAAGCACAACAUACAGGCGGAUGGGGCUUUGCAAUUCGAAAUGACCAUGGCGUUCUAUUAGUAGCUGGUGCAGGUAAUUUGGAGAACGUCUCAAAUCCCCUGCAUGCUGAAGCUUCAGCACUACAACAAGCAACUAAUAUAGCUAUUCAGAUGGGGUGCCAUCAGGUGAUGUUCGAGACAGAUUCAAUGGUACUAAAACAGGCUAUCACUACUACAGAGUAUGAUCUCUCAGAGUUAGGCUCUUCCAGGAUGUUAAAUUUCAAAUGCAUGUGGGCUUAA
rnacentral:rRNA from 1 species